GACAGGGGUCUCGAGCGUUAAUCGGAAUUACUGGGCUUAAAGGGUGCGUAGGUGGGUCCGCAAGUGCUCCGUGAAAUCCCCCGGCUCAACCGGGGAACUGCGGGGCAUACUGCGGGCCUUGAGGAAGGUAGGCGCCGAGGGAACAGUAGGUGGAGCGGUGAAAUGCGUAGAUAUCUACUGGAACGCCGAUGGUGAAGACGCUCGGCUGGGCCUUUCCUGACACUGAGGCACGAAAGCGUGGGGAGCAAACAGG
rnacentral:rRNA from 1 species